UACGGGGGGGAGCAAGCGUUUGUUCGGAUUUACUGGGCGUAAAGGGCGCGUAGGCGGUCGUGACAAGUCACUUGUGAAAAUCUCCGGGCUUAACUCGGGAACGGUCAAGUGAUACUGUCGGACUAGAGUACAGAAGGGGCAACUGGAAUUCUCGGUGUAGCGGUGAAAUGCGUAGAUAUCGAGAGGAACACCGGUGGCGAAGGCGACAUCCUGGACCGGUAUUGACGCGUGAGGCGACGGAAAGCCAGGGGAGCAAACGGG
rnacentral:rRNA from 1 species